rnacentral:rRNA from 1 species
AUUGAACGCUGGCGGCAGGCCUAACACAUGCAAGUCGAACGAGUGGCGGACGGGUGAGUAAUGUCUGGGAAACUGCCCGAUGGAUGGGGGUAACUACUGGACACGGUAGCUAAUACCGCAUACCAUCGGAUGUGCCCAGCUGGGAUUAGCUUGUAGGUGAGGUAACGGCUCACCUAGGCGACGCACCCUAGCUGGUCUGAGAGGAUGACCAGCCACACUGGAACUGAGACACGGGCCAGACGCCUACGGGAGGCAGCAGGGGGGAAUGUUGGACAAUGGGCGCAAGCCUGAUGCAGCCAUGCCGGGUGUAUGAAGAAGGCCUUCGGGUUGUAAAGUACUUUCAGCGGGGAGGCGUUACCCGCAGAAGAAGCACCGGCUAACUCCGUGCCAGCAGCCGCGGUAAUUC